rnacentral:misc_RNA from 1 species
GGAGUAGUCUCCCUUAACUCGGAACAACCCGCCGCUGACAACAAACUGGCGUAGAUAUGCAGUCUUGUCUUCAUGUUUCAUGGAUCUAGUCAUCUGAUCUACUACUACACAAGGUUGGCUGACAAGAAGAUCCUUUUGCCUGUUUGCUUCUGAUCCUAGGACUUUUACUUCCAUGAUUUAAUCAAUAUGACUAAAAAGUCCUGUAGGAAAACGGAGUACCAGAAGCAGUAUAGGAAGUCUACACUAAUUCAGAAUAUUCCCUGCUUUGUUGAAAAUAAAAACUAUCGACUUGCUAGAAAAGAAGCUGAGUAUCUUCACACACCAUUCCUAUGGGACAAUUCAAGCUCAUCAUCCAGCUCGGAGAGUGAUAUUUGUGAUCAGAACCAAGUUCACUUUCAAGAUGCUGAAAUUCAACAAGCAAAGAAAGUUGUUGAUUUCUGCUGUCAGACACAGCCAUUAAACCGUGGACCAGAUGAUGUUGCAAGUAAGAAGAAGUGUAAUGGAAUGGGAAGUACACAUGUUCUGAAAGACAAAGAAGAUUUAUGUAGUCUUGAUGCCAAAGCACAACAGUCAUAUUCCAGGAAUCCAGUAAACAAAUCAAAAGGAAAAACAUACACAAUAAAAUCGUGUCGACCAUCAUGUCCAUACAAAUAUAACUCAGCCAAACCUCAGCCCAAAUCCAGACCCACGUCAGCAUCCCAAAAAUCCCCAUUUCAUUUAUUUGGCUGGGCUGACAAGGAGGUUGACCUGGCCCGACACAGAACAUACAACGUCUUGAGCAAUAAAGAUGUGAGUCUCAUAUAGUGAGCUAAUGUACAUGAAGUCAUUGUCUUAUGUGUAUCCAUCAGCUGUAAUAGCCGCUAAGCGUCGACUUACAAGACAAAAAGAUACAUUUACUGUGGAGCAAUGCAAGAAGAAACAACCGCUUGAAGACAUCUUGUCACAAACAUGGGAUUGCCCAUGUAAAUGGGAAACAGAGUACUCUGCUCAUUACAAAUAUUAUCCUUUAUGAUUUUGAUGUCUCUUGCUAACAAUGUUUUUAGCAUUCAAUGUAAAGCUUUUUAAAAAUAAUUUAAAAUUUUUAAUAGCAUUUAUGAGUCGCUUAUUGAUGUAAAUUUAGGAAAGUGCUCUCCCAGCUGAAGAGAAUUUUAUUCAACUGGGGUUUAUUAAAACUAAUGAUGUUAUGCUGCAGGUGCAAAAAUAACAGGUUGAUUGAAAUAUUUUCACUCACAUCACUCUUGAGCUUUUGCAUGUGUUUCUUGAAAUGUUAUAAUAAUGCACACCCCUUUGCUGUAUGAAGGCAGAAUAUUUAUACAAAUAUGUGAUAGAAUGUUUGCAUUUUCAUAUUGUCUGAUGGAUCAACCUAAAAAAAAUUACGUCUUGGCAGUUGCUGGCAAUUAGAGAACAUGUUUAUUUUAUCAAAGCCAGUUAUGUGCCUGUGCCGGCCACCAGCACAUAUACCUAAAGCCUUAAAAAAUGAAUUCAUUUCAAGCUGUAUGCUCAAUCUUUUACAAGCUAAAAAUUGAAGUGCAAAACCUGUAUGGCCACAGUGAAUUUCAUAAAAAAUGUCUUGAGAAGGUAUUGCUAAAUGUGUUAUUAUAUAUGAAAUAAGACAUAAACACAAAAAGCAGAGUACAUGCUCCACACUCAGAUGGGUUGGCAGUAGUAAAUCAUGGUCUUUGAAUGUGCAUUUAAGCAUGAUUCCAAUCUUUCACAAUACCAUUGUGAAUAGACUUGAUAAAAAGUUUAUCUUGAACAGCAAAUGUUACCUUAAUGUGCCCGCGAUUUCCCCCGUUUGUAACCAUGGAAACCUUUUGGUGUGAGCACCUCUGUCCCAAAAAAAGAUAAUGAAUGGAGAGGACAAACUUUUAAGCAUAUAAAGAAAUCAAUAAACAUCCAUUCACCAAUCAUCUCCAUCCUUUUGUGUGUCACAAGAAGAGAUUGAGCAAACAUUUUGAAGAUGCAGUGGUAUACGAUUAGCAAUCUAUUUUAAGUUUGCCAGAGUGCUUUAUGAAGCAUGCUGAAAGGUUAGUAAAGCUUCAGUGCCUGAUACAAUAGAUUUCCCUCAUUAUGGAUGUAUUUGGUAAUGCUACAAAUCUGAUUUUAAUUCUUUUUCACUUGAACCAGUAAUGCCUGUCUGUUACAUUUGGUUCAAUGAGAAAUGCAAGUACUGGAAAAUACAUAAAAUUGCAAACACUAA